rnacentral:tRNA from 1 species
UAGAUGGAUGCUCGCAGAGUAGAGUGUUUAGCUGUUAACUAAAAAUGAGUAGGAUCGAGGCCUUCCCAUCUAG